rnacentral:rRNA from 1 species
UGCAGUCGAACGGUGAACACGGAGCUUGCUCUGUGGGAUCAGUGGCGAACGGGUGAGUAACACGUGAGCAACCUGCCCCUGACUCUGGGAUAAGCGCUGGAAACGGCGUCUAAUACUGGAUAUGUGACGUGACCGCAUGGUCUGCGUCUGGAAAGAAUUUCGGUUGGGGAGGGGCUCGCGGCCUAUCAGCUUGUUGGUGAGGUAAUGGCUCACCAAGGCGUCGACGGGUAGCCGGCCUGAGAGGGUGACCGGCCACACUGGGACUGAGACACGGCCCAGACUCCUACGGGAGGCAGCAGUGGGGAAUAUUGCACAAUGGGCGCAAGCCUGAUGCAGCAACGCCGCGUGAGGGACGACGGCCUUCGGGUUGUAAACCUCUUUUAGCAGGGAAGAAGCGAAAGUGACGGUACCUGCAGAAAAAGCGCCGGCUAACUACGUGCCAGCAGCCGCGGUAAUACGUAGGGCGCAAGCGUUAUCCGGAAUUAUUGGGCGUAAAGAGCUCGUAGGCGGUUUGUCGCGUCUGCUGUGAAAUCCGGAGGCUCAACCUCCGGCCUGCAGUGGGUACGGGCAGACUAGAGUGCGGUAGGGGAGAUUGGAAUUCCUGGUGUAGCGGUGGAAUGCGCAGAUAUCAGGAGGAACACCGAUGGCGAAGGCAGAUCUCUGGGCCGUAACUGACGCUGAGGAGCGAAAGGGUGGGGAGCAAACAGGCUUAGAUACCCUGGUAGUCCACCCCGUAAACGUUGGGAACUAGUUGUGGGGUCCAUUCCACGGAUUCCGUGACGCAGCUAACGCAUUAAGUUCCCCGCCUGGGGAGUACGGCCGCAAGGCUAAAACUCAAAGGAAUUGACGGGGACCCGCACAAGCGGCGGAGCAUGCGGAUAAUUCGAUGCAACGCGAAGAACCUUACCAAGGCUUGACAUAUACGAGAACGGG